rnacentral:lncRNA from 9 species
AGUGCUUGGAUGCAUGAAUGAAAUGAACAGGAAUAUGUCAGUGUUGCUAAUUCACACCAAUAAAUAAAACCUCUCCUGCAGAUUUGAAGGCACGAUCAUUUGACGUGGGUUCUCCUUUCUGUACCUGGAAAAGCAGCAAAAGUGGGGCUUGAUGAAGUAAAGAAUCAGAGCACAAUGAAAGUGGGAAACCUAAGAAGCAUGCCUGAUGCCAGGUAGCCAGAGCACUUUCAAAGGAACAAUCACAGGCCUUCUGACUCCCCUCUUACUUGUCUCUGCAGCUGUGAUUGUCUUUUUUCUUUUCUUCUCUUUUUCUCUGAAAGCCUAUUACCAGGCUCUUGGCCAACACUUCCUCCUGAAAGAUGUGUACGUGUCUUCAGACAGGUACAAUCCAGGCUUGUUGGUCUGAGGUCUGUUCUGCCUUUUCUCAGGAAGUUUUGCAAACCUGCAGCCUGAGUCAGUGACAAUGGAUCGUAAAUUUGCUCGGAAGUGAAAUGUACAUUUCCUGAUGCGUGUUAUCACACACUGAAAUCUCUCUUCACAACUCUUGAUUUUAAAAAAUGUGUUUAAGUGCUCAAAACUGUAUCUUCUGCUUUGUAAAGCACAUGUUAAGUUUUAGAACAAGUUUGGUGUCUUCCUCCCAGAGUUUAUUUGGCAUUGACCUAUUUGCUGGGAGCUCAAAUUCUAAGUCUGGACAGCACACACUCUUCCGUUCACAAGCAGUUUAUCAUCCAAAUAUGAACAGCAAAGCCAAGCAAAGCAUUGGACAGCAGAAGCAGGAAAGCAGGCUGCUCUUAUCAGGGUGAAGGAGAUUGGCGGCCCAUUAGGAGAGUGUCCACAAAAGAGAAAACCUGAAAUACAAUAAAUAUUUACUUGUUUAUAUUUUUCUCUUCUAUAAUUACCAUAGUGACCUCGUGCCUGAUAAAAACAUCAACAGAGCAGGGAGAAGACAGGCCCCAGCUGGGCUCUCCAAAAACGGCUUCUCAGGGGUCAGGAAAGUUUAACCUAUUUAUAUGAACUCACUGAAUUAAAUAAGCAUGAUUUAAUACCGCAGGACAGAGCAAAAGAAAACGGCACGGCUUUGCCAGAGUAAUCCUCUUUCAGGUCCUUCAAUAAUUCCUAGCACUUUGAAGAGCUUCCCCUUUUUUUAAUAUUUGUUGUUGCACUUUUUAUUUUUCUUCCCAGUAGUCACUCUGCGUGUGUUUUUAAACUGCUGAUGGUUUAAACUCCUAAUGGGCUGUGAGAGCCGUGCCAUCUUGGUGACUCAGCCACCCUGGACGUCAAGUGAACUCCAUGCUUCGUGUGGUUUAAACUCUCUGAACGAGACCCUAUUCUUCCUUCACAGGCACCCUGGGGGAUCCACUUUUCCUUCUUAUCUUCAUCCAUGGUUUGUCUGAUGUCUCGGUUCCAGUGGUUGCCCCAUGAAUACAACAGCCUGCAUCACAGCCACCCGUGGAGGCUUGCUUAAACCCACGGCUGACCCUGUCCUCAGAGGUGCUGAGUCACUCGUCUGCGUGGAACCUGCAAGUCUGCAUUCUUAACCAGGACCCGGGGCUGAGGCUGCUGGGGGUCCAGCUAUCGCAUCUGAGGACCUCUGCAAGAUGGAGAUUUUUUUCCAGGGAGCAGGAUGUGGAGCCCGGAAGAUGUUGGGAGCCCAGGCCUCCAUCUUCCCAUCUUUGAACUGCUUUCCAGAAUGCUUGUCUGGGCUUCCCUGAUGUUGGCCACGAGAUCAUAUGUGUGAAGAGUUUUUAAGCCUCAAGAUCAGUUGAUGUAUGUGGAAGGGGAUGUACUUUUCAGCAGCGGCUACCCACGUUUUCAUAAAGUCCUUAAGGAGUCCUCUCUCCUUGCUUCCUUUCCUCUUUGGGGACCAUGUUCUUUGAAUACAUCUGUUGGGAGGGGAAGGCACUAACCAGAGCUCUUUUGGAUCAGGCUGAUCGUUUAUUUAUUUGUUUUGAAAAGUUUAUUUAUAUAUAUAUAAAGUAAUAUAUGGGUUAAUCCCGACCUCCUGAUGCGUCCUUCCCCCCAGCUCUUUCCUCUUUGGUAACCCUAAUUUUGAUUUCAAAAUCUUUGAGUCUGUUUCUGUUUUGUGAAUAAGUUCCUUUGUUUCAUGUUUGUUAGAUUCCACAUAUUAGAGAUUUUAUAUAAUAUUUGUCUUUCUCUGUCUCACUUCCCUUAGUAUGAUAAUCUCUAGGUCUAUCCAUGUUGCUGCCCAUGGCAUUAUUUCUUUUUUUCGCUUCCCCAACCCCCCCCCCUUUUUUUUUUCCUUUUUAAGGUCGCACCUGCAGCACAUGGAAGUUCCCAGGCUAGGGAUCAAAUUGGAGCUGUAGCUGCUGACCUAUGGCGCAGCCAUAGCAACACAAGAUCUAAGCCCCAUCUGCAACCUACCCCACAGCUCAUGCCAGUACCAGAUUCUUAGCCCACUGAGUGAGGCCAGGGAUCAAACCCACAUCCUCAUGGAUAAUAGUCAGGUUUGUAAGCCCCUGAGCCACUAUAGGAACUCCUGGAUGGCAUUGUUUCAUUCUUUUUUAUGGCUGAGUAAUAUUCUAUUGCAUAUAUGUACCACAUCCUUUUUACCCAGUCCUCUUUUGGUGGACAUUUAGGUUGCUUCCAUGCCUUGACUAUUGUGAAUACUGCUGCAUGAACAUUGUGGUGCAUGUAUAUUUUUGGAUUAUGGUUUUCCCCAGAUAGAUGCCCAGGCAUGGGAUUGCUGGAUCAUAUGGUAGUUCUACGUUUAAUUUUUUAAGGAACCUCCAUACUCUUCUCCACAGGGCUUGCCCCAGUUUACAUUCCCACCAAAAGUGCUGAUUUUUUAGCUCGAACAUGUUCUGCUCUGACGUGGAGACCCUGGCACACCCUCCACUUCUUCCAACCUUCUCCACACCGUGGACUCCCCUGAGCAAAUCGUUUUUGCCUGUGACGAGACCCAACUUGGACUUCCAGGUUUCUGCUGCAGGUUCGUGGAUUUAUUUAGAUCAAAAUCUCAGAAGUUUUUUUUUUUUAAUGUAAAUUGCUGACAAGUAAACUCCUCACAUGUGAAAUUCAUCCAGCCUUCUGUUCCCUCCUUCAUGGAUUUAUGCGUUAAUUCAUUUGAAAAAUAUGACUUGAUAAUCUGCUCAAGUUCAGCAUAGCAGGGCUUUGAUAUUUACAUAUUAACAUACAACUACACACCUAGCCUUAUUAGGUUUAAUUGUGAGUAUUUCUAUUCUCACUCUAAUCUCUUUGUCUUAAGGAUUUUGAUCCUUUCUUAAUUAACAGGUCGAUUUUAUUGAAACUCAUGAUAGUAGUCAUAAUACCUACAUGUUAUCAAAACAAUUAUACUUUUAAAAUUUCUCUUUGUGGAAUGAUUUGAAAUGUGCUUUAUAAAUAAUACUAGAGGAAUCAACAAUAAAUUAGUAGAAAAGGAACUACGAGUUUAACUUGAAGUCAUUCUGAAAACAUACUAGAAUUUUUAAAUUAUUUCUUUUUUAGUAAAUGUAUUUUUUUAGGGUAUAGUUGAUUUGUUGAGUCAAUUUCUGCUGUAUAGUGUAGUGACCCAGUCAUACACACACACACACACACACACACACACACACACAUUCUUUUUCUUAUAUUAUCUUCCAUUACAGUCUAUCCCAAGGCAAUCCUACUCCUGGGCAUAUAUAUGGAUAAAACUACAAUUCAAAAAGAUACAUGCACCCUUAUAGUCAUUGCAGCACUAUUCACAAUAGUCAAGACAUAGGAGCAACCUAAAUGUCCACUGCCAGAUGAAUGGAUUAAGGUGUGGUACAUACAUACAAUGGAAUACUACUCAGCCAUAAAAGGAGCAAAAUAAUGCCAUUUGCAACGACGUGGAUGCAGUUAGAGAGUCUCGUACUAAGUGAAUAAGUCAGCAAGAGAAACACAAAUACCAUGUGAUAGUGCUUAUUAUAUGGAAUCUAAAAUACGGAUUGUGCCCUUUGAAGCUGUAUCAUCUCUUGGGCUCUCUGGCUCACUGUUCAGUUACUUGGUGUUCAUCAAUAUGUCUUCCUCUAAGGAAACAGUUCAAGUAGGACUUGAAUAAUUGGAGCUACUUUAGCUUGUCAGCAGAGCCCCCUCCCUUUCCACCGUCAUCACCAGCAUCGUGGUUGUACGGUACGAUGCUGCCACACUUAUGGAGGCAACAAAGUGUAUGACAGCCUGCCCACGUACCUCCAAGAUAGUCCAAACAUCUGUUUAAAAACUUGGCAAAAUGAAUGAAACAACAUCUAUGGUGCUUUUUGGUCUGCUGCUGGGUUCUCCGGUCUCACCAGUAGUUAAUCUGGUGGUUAUCACCUACCUGUCUGUCUGUCUGUCUGUCUAUCCUCUGUCCUAAACCAAGUUGACUAAUGAUCUCAUUCUAAAUUCCAUCAGGGGCCUCUGUAACGCCUCCCAGCUUACAGAUUCUAGUGUCCGGAAGCUCCCGUUUUGGAAGAAGGAGCAUGAUUCAGGAAAGGUGACCAGUGCUGCUUUUGUUAUGUAAUUUAGCCGGGAGGGAAAGAGGAACAACGGCAAGGAUAACGCCUCAGGCAAGGAUAACGCCUCAGUGUGUGCUCUCCAGUCUCUACAACCCUUCCCCAGGUCGCCAAAGUCACUCUUCUUCACAGCAAAGUGAGUUUGUUCUCUUCUCUGUUUUCCCCCCGGCGGAGUAACUUGGUCAAAACCCACAGGAAGGGGAGAGCUGAGCCUCGCACUGGGUCUUCUCACCCCAGAUCCUGUAUCGUUCAAAGAAGUUCAGUAACACAGGGUCAAAGGAUUCUUCUUUUUCAGACUGUCUCUGAGUUAACAGUAAGUGAGAUGAACUUGAGUUUAGGAAUUGGAACCCUGGUCAGCUCGUUUUUUAUUUUUGUUUUGUUUUUAUUUUUCCUUGCAGAUGUUUAUUAUUUAUGUCAUUAUUUUGCCAAACUGAGCCAAGGUUUUCUUAAAACCAAGAUAAAUUUCCUUGGU